UACGGAGGAUCCAAGCGUUAUCCGGAUUUAUUGGGUUUAAAGGGAGCGUAGGCGGGAGGUCAAGUCAGCUGUGAAAUAUAUCUGCUUAACGGGUACACUGCAGUUGAAACUGGUUUUCUUGAGUGCGUAAGAGGCAGGCGGAAUUCGUUGUGUAGCGGUGAAAUGCUUAGAUAUGACGAGGAACUCCUAUUGCGAAGGCAGCUUGCUGGGUCGUUACUGACGCUGAUGCUCGAAGGUCGGGGAUCAAACAGGAUUAGAUA
rnacentral:rRNA from 1 species